rnacentral:miRNA from 1 species
UUUGAUCGAUGUAUGGCUGAACGG